UACAGAGGGUUCAAGCGUUAUUCGGAAUUACUGGGCGUAAAGGGCGCGUAGGCGGCCUCGAAAGUCUGAUGUGAAAGCCCUGGACCCAAUCCAGGAAGUGCAUCGGAAACUGCGGGGCUCGAGUGCAGGAGAGGAGGACGGAAUUCCUGGUGUAGAGGUGAAAUUCGUAGAUAUCAGGAGGAACAGCAGUGGCGAAGGCGGUUCUCUGGACUGUAACUGACGCUGAGGCGCGAAAGCGUGGGGAGCAAACAGG
rnacentral:rRNA from 1 species